ACGGAGGGUGCAAGCGUUGCUCGGAAUUAUUGGGCGUAAAGGGGAGGUAGGUGGUCUCGUUUGUCUGGGGUGAAAUCCCUGAGCUUAACUCAGGACGUGCCUCGGAAACGGCGAGACUGGAGUACUGGAGAGGCUAGCGGAAUACCCGGUGUAGCGGUGAAAUGCGUAGAGAUCGGGUGGAACACCAGAGGCGAAGGCGGCUAGCUGGACAGUUACUGACACUCAACUCCGAAAGCGUGGGGAGCAAACAGGA
rnacentral:rRNA from 1 species